GCGAACUUGGCAGAGAUGCCUUGGUGCCUUCGGGAACGCUGAGACAGGUGCUGCAUGGCUGUCGUCAGCUCGUGUUGUGAAAUGUUGGGUUAAGUCCCGCAACGAGCGCAACCCUUAUCCUUUGUUGCCAGCGAUUCGGUCGGGAACUCAAAGGAGACUGCCGGUGAUAAACCGGAGGAAGGUGGGGAUGACGUCAAGUCAUCAUGGCCCUUACGAGUAGGGCUACACACGUGCUACAAUGGCGCAUACAAAGAGAAGCGACCUCGCGAGAGCAAGCGGACCUCAUAAAGUGCGUCGUAGUCCGGAUCGGAGUCUGCAACUCGACUCCGUGAAGUCGGAAUCGCUAGUAAUCGUGGAUCAGAAUGCCACGGUGAAUACGUUCCCGGGCCUUGUACACACCGCCCGUCACACCAUGGGAGUGGGUUGCAAAAGAAGUAGGUAGCUUAACCUUCGGGAGGGCGCUUACCACUUUGUGAUUCAUGACUGGGGUGAAGUCGUAACAAGGUAAGCGUAGCGAG
rnacentral:rRNA from 1 species